rnacentral:rRNA from 1 species
AGUGAACGCUGGCGGCGUGGCUUAGGCAUGCAAGUCGAACGUGAAACCCCGCAAGGGGGAGUAAAGUGGCGAAAGGGUGAGUAAUGUAUGGGCAACGUACCCCCGGGAUCAGGAUAACUACUGGAAACGGUAGCUAAUACUGAAUGGUCAGGUCUUAAGGCAUCUUGAGACCUGUAAGCGGUAGGGAAACCUUCUGCCCGGGGAGCGGCCCAUAUCCUAUCAGCUAGUUGGCGGGGUAACGGCCCACCAAGGCAAUGACGGGUAGCCGAACUGAGAGGUUGAUCGGCCACACUGGGACUGAGACACUGCCCAGACUCCUACGGGAGGCUGCAGUCGAGAAUCUUCCGCAAUGGGCGCAAGCCUGACGGGGCGACGCCGCGUGCAGGAUGAAGGCCUUCGGGUUGUAAACUGCUGUUGCGCGCUAAGAAUGCCUCGGAGUUAAUAGCUCUCGAGGUUGACUAUCGUGUGAGGAAGCACAGGCUAACUCCGUG